GAUGAACGCUAGCGGCAGGCCUAACACAUGCAAGUCGAGGGAGAAGCCCUUUCGGGGGCAGCCACCGGCGCACGGGUGCGUAACGCGUAUGCAACCUACCUUUCACAGUGGGAUAGCCCGAAGAAAUUUGGAUUAAUACCCCAUAAUAUUAUUGGAUGGCAUCAUUUGAUAAUUAAAACUGCGGUGGUGAAAGAUGGGCAUGCGUCCUAUUAGCUAGUUGGAGUGGUAACGGCACCCCAAGGCUACGAUAGGUAGGGGUCCUGAGAGGGAGAUCCCCCACACUGGUACUGAGACAGGGACCAGACUCCUACGGGAGGCAGCAGUGAGGAAUAUUGGUCAAUGGUCGGAAGACUGAACCAGCCAUGCCGCGUGCAGGAAGAAUGCCUUAUGGGUUGUAAACUGCUUUUAUAUGGGAAGAAUAAGGCGUACGUGUACGUUGAUGACGGUACCAUAUGAAUAAGCAUCGGCUAACUCCGUG
rnacentral:rRNA from 1 species